rnacentral:lncRNA from 1 species
GUGGGAACUGGCCCUGGACAGGAGGGGAGGGCAGUGUGUUCCCAUUGGCUGUUCACAAAGCGCAACAGAUGUCAGUCAUGGGUCUCAUACUGGCCUGUGCUUUCCCACCCUGGUGAUCUGUGGUCUGAAUUGAACUAUCGGCGGGGCAGAUGUCACAGGUGGGACAGAUACCUAUAAACCUGUUGGAGACUCAGGCACUGCCGGAGGGCGAUCCUUGGAGGAGAACCCGCCAUCUGGCGUUGGCGAGGGAACAGCCUCGUGGCCAAAGCAGCAUGUCUGGAGGCCAGCGGAACGGAGAGAUGGAUGGGACCCAGGGCCCUGGUGACGCUGCUCAGCCCUGCACCUGCCUCUUCUCAGCUGUUGGGUCACGGCCCGAGGAGAGACCUGCAUUUUAGUGACACAUCCGAGACAGUGUAGAAAACACUGCAGCACCCUGGAUUGGGAUUCAGAACGGAACAGAGUAAGCGCCCUGUGCCCAUCGCUGGCUUUGUGACUUGUGGGUGUUGUGCCUACAGACUGUGGGCAGCAUUGUCCUCCCAGCUGCUGGUACUAGAAAUGAACGCAGGAGUAAUUCUGGGGUUAAAAUGUAUAGAAAAAGAUCUGGGAGGAUUUAGGAAUGGAAUAUUUUGGUUUUGAUUGCACUCAUUUUUAACUUUUCCAAAAAAAAAAAAAAACAAAAAACACAUAUCCUCUUUGUAAUCAGAUAGGUUAUUUAAGAUCCAGCACCGUGGUGUAGCAGGUUAGCUUGCUGCCUGUGAUGCCGGCAUCCCACAUGAGUCCCUGCUGCUCGACUUCCAACCCAGCUCCCUGUUAAUGCGCCUGGGAAAGCAUCGGAGAAUGACCCAAGUGCCACCCACGUGGGAGACCUGGAUGGAGCUCCAGACUCCUGGCUUCAUCUUGGCUCAGCCCUGGCUGUUGUGGCCACUUGGGGAGUGAACCAGCAGAUGGAAGAUCUUUCUCUCCGUGUAACUCUGACUUCAAAUAAAUAAAUAAAUA